AUUCUCACUUGGGCGACGGAAAGG
rnacentral:miRNA from 1 species